AUCAGACCACAAGGGAAGAAAAGGAGGAUAUACAUGAUGCAUCAUCAUCAUCAGCAGAACAAGCCUAAUUCUUUCUGUGCAAUCAUCAUGAAUGGCCUCAACACCCAUCACUUGAAAAUACCAACCAAGUUUCUGAAUUAUUUGGACAAAAAAUUGAUGAGCAAUGCAACUCUAAUAGGCCCUUGUGGGGGCAAGUGGCAAGUGACCAUAAUCAAGAGAGAAAAUGGAGUUUACAUGGACCAUGGUUGGUCAAAGUUUCUACAAGAAAACCUAGUCAAGCAUGAGGAUUUCUUGGUUUUCACAUAUGAUGGAAAUAAUAACCAUUUCAAGGUCCAAAUAUUUUGUAAAAAUGGAUGUGAAGCUCCAAAACCUAAUGUGGGAAAUGGUACAAAGAAGAGUAGACCAACAACUUCAUGCCCACAGAUUUCACCUGAAAAUGAAAGAUCAUAAAAAGAAUCGAAUAUUGGUAUUGAGUUUGUCAGAGAUUAUGUUACUUUUGCUCAAUUGCUCCUGCUGUGAAGAUCGUCUUCACCCUUGAAAGUUUCUUAAUUAGUCUCUUAUUAGGAAAGUGUUGAGAAGUGAGUGUGCAUUCUUAUUUAAUUAAUUAGCUUUAAUCAAGUGUUUAACAUAGGAACUUUAUGUGAUGCAGUGUGUUUCCUAUGCAAGUUUUCUAAUUUUUAUACUUAGAGUUUAAUUUUAAUCCAAUCAU